AGAGUUUGAUCCUGGCUCAGAACGAACGCCGGCGGCGUGCCUAACACAUGCAAGUCGAGCGCGAAAGUCCCUUCGGGGGCGAGUAGAGCGGCGGACGGGUGAGUAAUACAUGGAUAAUCUCCCUUCGAGCUCGGGAUAACACUGCGAAAGCGGUGCUAAUACCGGAUAAGACCACGUCACCCAGGUGAUGCGGUAAAAGAUGGCUUUGUUUUCGGAUGAGGCUAUCACUUGAGGAUGAGUCCAUGGCCUAUCAGCUUGUUGGUGAGGUAAAGGCUCACCAAGGCGAUGACGGGUAGCUGGUCUGAGAGGACGACCAGCCACACUGGGACUGAGACACGGCCCAGACUCCUACGGGAGGCAGCAGUGGGGAAUAUUGGGCAAUGGGCGAAAGCCUGACCCAGCGACGCCGUGUGGGCGAUGAAGGCCUUCGGGUUGUAAAGCCCUGUUGGGUGGAAAGAAGGGCUCUAGGACGAAUAAUCCCUGAGUCUUGACGGUACCACCAGAGGAAGCACCGGCUAACUCCGUGCCAGCAGCCGCGGUAAUACGGAGGGUGCAAGCGUUGUUCGGAAUUACUGGGCGUAAAGGGCGCGUAGGUGGUUGUGUAAGUCAGAUGUGAAAUCCCGAGGCUCAACCUCGGAACUGCAUCUGAUACUGCAUGACUAGAGUGCAGCAGAGGGAAACGGAAUUCCCAGUGUAGAGGUGAAAUUCGUAGAUAUUGGGAGGAACACCGGUGGCGAAGGCGGUUUCCUGGGCUGACACUGACACUGAGGCGCGAAAGCGUGGGUAGCAAACAGGAUUAGAUACCCUGGUAGUCCACGCUGUAAACGGUGAAUACU
rnacentral:rRNA from 1 species